rnacentral:tRNA from 1 species
GGGCGCGUAGCUCAGCCGGUUAGAGCGCAUCACUCACAUUGAUGAGGUCGGGGGUUCGAGUCCCUUCGCGCCCACCA